AUUGAACGCUGGCGGCAUGCUUUACACAUGCAAGUCGAACGGUAACAGGCCUUCGGGUGCUGACGAGUGGCGAACGGGUGAGUAAUGCAUCGGAACGUGCCCAGAGGUGGGGGAUAACGCAGCGAAAGCUGUGCUAAUACCGCAUGUGAUCUGAGGAUGAAAGCGGGGGACCAGGCAGCAAUGUUUGGCCUCGCGCCUUUGGAGCGGCCGAUGUCAGAUUAGGUAGUUGGUGGGGUAAAGGCCUACCAAGCCGACGAUCUGUAGCUGGUCUGAGAGGACGUCCAGCCACACUGGGACUGAGACACGGCCCAGACUCCUACGGGAGGCAGCAGUGGGGAAUUUUGGACAAUGGGCGCAAGCCUGAUCCAGCAAUGCCGCGUGCGGGAAGAAGGCCUUCGGGUUGUAAACCGCUUUUGUACGGAACGAAAAGGCUCUGGCUAAUACCUGGGGCUGAUGACGGUACCGUAAGAAUAAGCACCGGCUAACUACGUG
rnacentral:rRNA from 1 species